UACAGAGGGGGCAAGCGUUGUUCGGAAUUAUUGGGCGUAAAGAGCUUGUAGGCGGUUUGUCGCGUCUGCCGUGAAAUUUCGAGGCUCAACCUCGAACUUGCGGUGGGUACGGGCAGACUAGAGUGUGGUAGGGGAGACUGGAAUUCCUGGUGUAGCGGUGAAAUGCGCAGAUAUCAGGAGGAACACCGAUGGCGAAGGCAGGUCUCUGGGCCACUACUGACGCUGAGAGACGAAAGCUAGGGGAGCGAAUGGG
rnacentral:rRNA from 1 species